rnacentral:rRNA from 1 species
UACGUAGGUGGCGAGCGUUGUCCGGAUUUAUUGGGCGUAAAGCGCGCGCAGGCGGUUCGUUAAGUCUGGUGUGAAAGCUCCCGGCUCAACUGGGAGAGGUCACUGGAUACUGGCGAACUGGAGGCAGGCAGAGGAAGGUGGAAUUCCCGGUGUAGUGGUGAAAUGCGUAGAUAUCGGGAGGAACACCAGUGGCGAAGGCGGCCUUCUGGGCCUGUCCUGACGCUGAGGCGCGAAAGCGUGGGGAGCGAACCGG